CUAUCUGUCGCGCCCAAGAUGCGAUUCUAUCCCAAUCACGUGAUGAAUUCAUGAUCUGGGCACAACCGCAUUUUGAGCGCAUAGCAAGGUGGAUAUCAUUACAACAUACCAUGUACUGAAUAGAUGAGAAUACAAGAUAAAGACUUACACUCUCCACAAGCCACAACAUGAAUACAUCAAUACAUCAAUUCAUAGCAAUCAUCAUACAGAAGAGCAGGAUCCGACUACGGAUGAAAUCAAACAAAAAAGAAGAACGACAUCCACCCUGCUAAUCCCAGGCUCCCCGACCCGGAACCUAAUCCCUUGAUUGAAGAAGAAGAACUCCAAAAGCAAUCAAGCAUCACCUCACGUCAGAUCAUCGCAUUACCCGUACCUGCAACUGUUGUUGUAGUAAUAUGUGAGCCACGAGGACUCAGCAAUCCCAUUACCAUGGGUAUCAAGACUACCAAAGCUUAAUGGGUAUGGAAUGGAUAGUGGUGAGGUUGUAGCAAGCACUAAGCAUUUGUAUGGUGGCUAACUUACGAGUACAAGAGUAAGAAGAGUUACUACGCAUAACGGUCGUGAACUAGUAAUGAUCAAUAAGUGAUCCUGAACUACUUACGAGUCAAACAUAACCCCACCGUGUUCUCUUCUCGAACUCACUCGAAAAGAUACGGUCACGGUUACGCACGCGGUUGGUGUAUUUUAAUUCGGAUCUGGUGUCAAGUUCUCUACAACCGGAUAUUAAAAAUUCCCAUCUGCCACAUAACCGGGGACACGGCUCUCGAAAGUUUAAAUCCUGCAGGGGUGUUCCAACUUAGCCCAUGACAAGCUCAUGAUCCACGGAGACAAUCCUCCAUCGCGGGACAUCCGAUCAGACUCGGGAUCCUGGUGCACAAGACAUUUCGACAAUGGUAAAACAAGUCCAGCAAGACCUCCCGGCGUGCCGACACCCUGAUAGUAGCCACGUGUAUCUCGUCUCAGGCCACGUCCGGAUGAACACUACGUACGGCAACCAAAUACCCCAGGUGAAGGGGCGGCACCACAAGUGGCUCUGUUUUGGGACCAACACCAUCAGCACUGGGCCCCCUGUAUUAUGUUGAAAGAAUCCUUGGGGACGCGACCCCCUAUGCUAAUUAAUUAAUUAUCAAGUUUAGUUAUUAUGUUGGGGAAAUGGUAAAACCAAUGUUGGGCCUUGCUGGAAGAGUUUUAUUCAAAGCGAACUGUCAAGAGGAGCCCAUAAACCCUCAUCGUGUUAGGGACGCAAAAUCAAGGAACAUAACACCGGUAUGACGAAAACUAAGACGACAAAAGUGGAACAAAACACCAGGCAAAAGGCCGAGCCUUCCACCCUUUACCAAGUAUAUAGAUGCGUUAAUUAAAUAAGAGAUAUUGUGAUAUCCCAUGAUAUCCAUGUCCCAACAUGGAACAACCUGCAACUGCACCUACAACUAGCAACGCUAUAAGAGGGGCUGAGCAAAGCGGUAACAUAGCCAAACAAUGGUUUGCUAGGAUGGUGGAAAAGGUUAGAGGCUAUCAGGGCAAUUUGGGAGGCUUGAUAAACAAGUGGUGGGUAGCGCGACAUAGCGACAACAUCAAGACAACUAGCAUAGCAAAGAUAGUAGUGAGAUCCAAGGUGACGGUCAUCUUGCCUGAAAUUCCGCUAGGAAGAAGACCGAAUCCAUGAAGUAGACGAACCAACAUAACUGAACGAAUCCUCACAAUCGCAACAUAACCGGAACUAUCAAGAAGAAGCAUCAUGGGAAAGAAGCAAACAACAGGGUAAACAACCAUCACAUAAACAUGGCAUGAUGCAGAAUCAAGUAUGAUGCAUGUCCGAUUUAAUGAGUCAUGGCAUGGCAAAGUGCAACAAACAAUACUACAAAUC
rnacentral:lncRNA from 1 species